CAGUCGCCACGGUAAAACGUAGGGUCCGAGCGUUGUCCGGAAUUACUGGGCGUAAAGAGCUCGUAGGUGGUUUGUCGCGUUGUUCGUGAAAACUCACAGCUCAACUGUGGGCGUGCGGGCGAUACGGGCAGACUAGAGUACUGCAGGGGAGACUUGAAUUCCUGGUGUAGCGGUGGAAUGCGCAGAUAUCAGGAGGAACACCGGUGGCGAAGGCGGGUCUCUGGGCAGUAACUGACGCUGAGGAGCGAAAGCGUGGGGAGCGAACAGGAUUAGAUACCCCGGUAGUCCCUGUCUCUUAUAC
rnacentral:rRNA from 1 species